AAGGCCCAGACAGCCAGGAUGUUGGCUUAGAAGCAGCCAUCAUUUAAAGAAAGCGUAAUAGCUCACUGGUCGAGUCGGCCUGCGCGGAAGAUGUAACGGGGCUAAACCAUGCACCGAAGCUGCGGCAUCACGAUACCGGCAUCGUCAAACUGGUUCAGCACACGGUAUACGGUUGCCAGACCGAUUUCUUCACCCAUGUCGAUCAGGCGUUUGUAUAAAUCUUCCGCACUGACGUGAUGGUUA
rnacentral:rRNA from 1 species